UUUUAAACCUUGAAUUGAAUUUUCUGCUUUUUAGAUUUAAACCCAUCACACGUGUUUGUUUAUCAUUCAUAAGUUUUAUUUUUUAUCUUAUAAAUUUAUUUGUAUCUUUUCUGACUCAGGAAGUCGAAUCUUUCCGAUGAUGAUUUUGUGUUUUUAGCAGCAAACUGUGGACGAUCAUGUCUUCAUGCUGCAGCUCCGACUCAGUGAAACAUGAUUUUUUGACGUUUUGACGUCGAGCUGAAAUCUCGUUAUUCUGCUGAAUCAGGGAAACUUCUGUUUCUGUACUUUCUCUCCUCACGUUUGACUGUUUAUCUCACAGUUUGAAAUAUUUCAUGAAUAACUGACUUUUUUCAUGAAAUCAACCUUUUAUCAUGUUUAUGUCGCAGCUCUAAGUCACGGCUGCAUGUUUACACGUUUUAAACCGAGUGUGUAAUCUGCAGGAUCUGAGCUCAGGAUGUUUUCUUUGCUGCAGACGUGUGCGCAGUCACAUGUGCGAGGCGUGUCGCGCUCCCACUGAACACACAGGUCACAGAUAUCAGCUGAUAUCAGCAGAAAAAGCACAGGCGUCGUGGCUUCUCCUGAUCUCUGCUUCCACAUCAGUGUCCAGCUCUAAACCAUCAUCAGCGACGGCCCAAGGUGUUUCUGUUGUUCCCUCCAGUAUCUGAGUGCGUGAUGUUGGACUGUAGUCCAGGGUGAGACUCUCUGAAGUCAGAGGACCAAUGAUGGCCGAGUCCUCUGAGAGUUUAAGGA